AUGAACGCUAGCGACAGGCUUAACACAUGCAAGUCGAGGGGCAGCGGGGGUAGCAAUACCCGCCGGCGACCGGCGCACGGGUGAGUAACGCGUAUGCAACUUACCUAUCAGAGGGGGAUAACCCGGCGAAAGUCGGACUAAUACCGCAUGAAGCAGGGAUCCCGCAUGGGAAUAUUUGCUAAAGAUUCAUCGCUGAUAGAUAGGCAUGCGUUCCAUUAGGCAGUUGGCGGGGUAACGGCCCACCAAACCGACGAUGGAUAGGGGUUCUGAGAGGAAGGUCCCCCACAUUGGUACUGAGACACGGACCAAACUCCUACGGGAGGCAGCAGUGAGGAAUAUUGGUCAAUGGCCGAGAGGCUGAACCAGCCAAGUCGCGUGAGGGAUGAAGGUUCUAUGGAUCGUAAACCUCUUUUAUAAGGGAAUAAAGUGCGGGACGUGUCCCGUUUUGUAUGUACCUUAUGAAUAAGGAUCGGCUAACUCCGUGCCAGCAGCCGCGGUAAUACGGAGGAUCCGAGCGUUAUCCGGAUUUAUUGGGUUUAAAGGGUGCGUAGGCGGCCUUUUAAGUCAGCGGUGAAAGUCUGUGGCUCAACCAUAGAAUUGCCGUUGAAACUGGGGGGCUUGAGUAUGUUUGAGGCAGGCGGAAUGCGUGGUGUAGCGGUGAAAUGCAUAGAUAUCACGCAGAACUCCGAUUGCGAAGGCAGCCUGCCAAGCCAUGACUGACGCUGAUGCACGAAAGCGUGGGGAUCAAACAGGAUUAGAUACCCUGGUAGUCCACGCAGUAAACGAUGAUCACUAGCUGUUUGCGAUACACUGUAAGCGGCACAGCGAAAGCGUUAAGUGAUCCACCUGGGGAGUACGCCGGCAACGGUGAAACUCAAAGGAAUUGACGGGGGCCCGCACAAGCAGUGGAGUAUGUGGAUUAAUUCGAAGCAACGCGAAGAACCUUACCAGGUCUUGACAUCCUUCUGACCGCUCCGUAAUGGGAGCUUUCCUUCGGGACAGAAGAGACAGGUGGUGCAUGGUUGUCGUCAGCUCGUGCCGUGAGGUGUCGGCUUAAGUGCCAUAACGAGCGCAACCCUUGCCACUAGUUACUAACAGGUAAAGCUGAGGACUCUGGUGGGACUGCCAGCGUAAGCUGCGAGGAAGGCGGGGAUGACGUCAAAUCAGCACGGCCCUUACAUCCGGGGCGACACACGUGUUACAAUGGCGUGGACAAAGGGAAGCCACCUGGCGACAGGGAGCGAAUCCCCAAACCACGUCUCAGUUCGGAUCGGAGUCUGCAACCCGACUCCGUGAAGCUGGAUUCGCUAGUAAUCGCGCAUCAGCCAUGGCGCGGUGAAUACGUUCCCGGGCCUUGUACACACCGCCCGUCAAGCCAUGGGAGCCGGGGGUACCUGAAGUCCGUAACCGCGAGGAUCGGCCUAGGGUAAAACUGGUGACUGGGGCU
rnacentral:rRNA from 1 species